AUACUACCUGGUAUAAGAAAUACCAUGAUCACAAAGGCGGAUUAUCCAUAGCAAGACUUAUAUACAUUGCACUCAGAAUGUGCUGACUCCCUGUGAUUUCUCAACUGCUGGGAAAGUUAACUGCAUAAUGUGUGGUAAUGGGAGACUGAGUUUGUGCUCUUCUAAU